AGCACAUUAGGGUGCUAUUGCCAAUUGGUUGGGUUGGGAGAUCUGUUCUGUUCCUAUGUCAUCCUAAUGUAUGACGAUAUUUUCCGUACUAUACAGCGCUCUUCACUGAUUGCAUCAGAUGAAAUCCAGAGAUUACAGGGAUCACUGUAC